rnacentral:rRNA from 1 species
UACGAAGGGGCUAGGCGUUGUUCGGAAUUACUGGGCGUAAAGCGUGCGCAGGCGGCUUCUCAAGUCAGGGGUGAAAGCCCAGAGCUUAACUCUGGAAUUGCCUUUGAGACUGAGAGGCUUGAGUACGGGAGAGGUGAGUGGAAUUCCCAGUGUAGAGGUGAAAUUCGUAGAUAUUGGGAAGAACACCGGUGGCGAAGGCGGCUCACUGGCCCGUAACUGACGCUCAUGCACGCAGCGUGGGGAUCAAACAGG